UUAUCAACUAGAGUCGCUUACUGUGAUGGUUAGCGGUGAUGUAUUUUAUCUUAUUGGCUGCAGGGGUUAUGUUGAUUCAUAAGCAGCUUCUGGGAGGAGAGGAAUUGGAUUUGAUUCACGAACUUGAUGAGCAAAAUAAGAUAGAAACUGCAUUUGGUUUUAGAAGCAAGUCUUGGACAUGUGAAGGCUCUAUAUCGUCGUGGCAUGACACACAUGUCAGCUGGAAAUUUUGAGGAAGCAAGGAGUGAUUUUAAGAAGGAAGUUGAGAUGAAGGCUAAAAAAGCAAUUUAAAGGACUGUUGGAAAAGAAGCCUGGGGAAAUUGCUGAUGCUGGAACUGUUUUAGGCAAAGAUAAGAAAGCUGAAAAUGAUGAAAACCUUGAACGUGGCAACGAUGCUGCACAAGAUUAAGAAAAGGAAGUCAAAGAAGAGGAAGGAAGAAAAAGAAGCUCCACCCUCAAAGGGGUUUGUUUAACAGGAUUUGGCCUGUUGGUAGUAGAGUAUUCUUUGCACUUGGUUUAUAAAGAUGUUCCAUCAUAAUGAAUUUACUGCUGUUAUGGAAUUCCGUGAACCGAUCCAGUCAUACUCACUACCUUGAAUUGUUGAUCCCCGAUUUACACCUGUAGACCUAACAAUGCUUAAAUUAUUUUUGAAUUAGGGGCUUAGUUAAUUAUAGGGAAAACAUUUGAUAAAAGCUUUGAACUACCAUUUCUCCCCCAAGGUUCCGACAGCGACUAACUUAAGUCUCAAUAAGAACAAGACCUGGAUGGUGUUGGUGCUGUUGUUUUGAUCCGUGAAGCAACAGGGUGUAAGUUGCUUCUAGAGGAGUAAGGCUGUAUAGUGGAUUUGUGGUGUUGGAUGGUUGACGCGGGUUUGGUGCUAGGAAGAAGUAGCUUGGUUAGAAGCUGUAGGAACUGAAUUGUAAAGGUGCAGUGCUGUAUUAGAGAAUGUGAAACGGAGACUGGUAAUAGUUGCAGUGAGGUUGUUUCUGCAGUUGAAGAUGUGUUAUGUUGCUAAUGAAUAUGAGCUGCAGUGAUGGUUAAAAUGGUUGAGCAGAAUGUAUGAAUGAAGCUGGAAUGAAAUAUUAUUUUUAUUCGUUCUUAAUGUGCUACUGGACUGAAGCUUUCAAAGCAUUUCAAGUGUCCGUAUCUACCAUAACAAAUUGCUACCAUAAACGAACAUGGAUUCCUCGGUAGUCGAAGUAAAAAAGUGCAUGGAUGCUCUUCUAUGCAGUCAUUAUGUAUGAAGGGACUACAGUUAGUAUCAUCCUAUAAAUCAAAAGCUUGCGUGGAGAAGAUUAUAUUAGCAACCGCUAAGGCCUAAGUGUCAUGCACAGUUUGUCAUACCAAACAAUUUUUUCUCAAUGCAAAAGUUUAUUUCUCAAAGCAAGGUAAUAGUUUGUUGAGAACUCAUGUCAUGGCAUAUAUGGAUAUGGUCCCAUGAUCAAGUGUGCUUAAGUUAGAUAUGAUACUGUUAUUGUCAUUGUAAACCAAGGCAGAAUUACAAAACCAAAAGGCAUAAGCAUAAGAAAUUCUAAGCGUGC